UACAGAGGGGGCAAGCGUUAUUCGGAAUUAUUGGGCGUAAAGGGCGCGUAGGCGGCUUGGCAAGUGGAUGGUGAAAUCCCUCGGCUUAACCGAGGAACGGCCGUCCAAACUGCUUCGCUUGAGACCGGGAGAGGUGAGUGGAAUUCCCAGUGUAGCGGUGAAAUGCGUAGAUAUUCGGAGGAACACCAGUGGCGAAGGCGGCUCACUGGUCCAUUACUGACGCUGAGGUGCGAAAGCGUGGGGAGCAAACAGG
rnacentral:rRNA from 1 species